rnacentral:rRNA from 1 species
AUGACAGAAGUGGCAUUAGCUAUAGCUGGCUUAAGAUUAGCUGCAUCGCCGGUUUUGAAGAAGCUCCUUGCUUAUUCUUCAACGUACCUUGGAGUGGACAUGAUGCGUGAGCUCCAUGAACUGGAGACCACAAUCAUGCCCCAACUCGAGCUGGUGAUUAAAGCAGCAAACAAGGGAAACCACAGGCCCAAGUUGGACAAAUGGCUUCAGGAACUCAAAGAAGCCUUCUACAUGGCUGAAGAAUUGCUGGAAGAGCAUGAGUACAACCUUCUCAAGCGCCAAGCAAAGGGGAAGGAUUCUUUGCCGCCCAAUGCCUCCACCAUCAGCAGUGCCUCUCCAAAGAGUUUCACUGCCACGCCCCGGGCCACAGCCAGGGCAGCCUGGGGCCUGGCUACGCCCCUGACCAUCAGCAGCACUUUUAUGAAGCCUCUGCGUGCUGCAUCAAGCAGGCUGUCCAAUCUGAGCUCUGAGAACAGAAAGCUACUUCGGCAGCUGCAUGAACUGAAGGCUACCCUGGCGAAAGCCAAGGAGUUCCGUGAACUACUCUGCUUACCAGCCAGCUAUAAUGCAGAGAGCCCCACCAUACCAUCAGUUGAUGUUCUUGAGGCCACAUCACUACAACCUAUGAAAGUGAUUGGUCGUGACAAGGAUAGCGAUCAUAUAAUUGACCGCCUUACCAAGAUAACUGCUACUACUGAGUCUGAGUCUAGUACAGCUAUGUACUCGGGUUUGGCCAUUGUUGGAGUUGGAGGCAUAGGAAAGUCCACAUUAGCACAACUUGUUUACAAUGACAAGAGGGUAAAAGAAUAUUUUGAUGUGACAAUGUGGGUAAGCAUCUCACGCAAACUUGAUGUCCGCCGUCAUACACGGGAGAUCAUCGAGUCUGUCUCUCAAGGGGAAUGCCCACACAUUGGUAGCCUUGAUACUCUGCAGCACAACUUGGCAAACAUACUGCAAGAAUCAAAGAAAUUUCUACUCGUGUUGGAUGAUGUUUGGUUUGAACCUGGCAGUGAGGGGGAAUGGGACCAACUAUUAGCUCCUCUAGUUUCGCAACAGAUGGGAAGCAAAAUUUUGGUAACUUCUCGAAGGAAUACAUUUCCAGCUGCUCUUUGCUGUGAAGUGUGUCCUCUGGAAAACACGGAAGAUGCUCAGUUCUUGGCACUCUUCAAACACUACGCAUUCUCUGGACCAAAAAUCAUAGAUCUGCAGUUGCGCGAAAGGCUUGAAGAUUUUGCAGAGAAGGUUGCUAAAAGACUUGGACAAUCUCCUCUGGCGGCAAAAGUUGUGGGUUCCCAGUUGAAAGGGAAAACAUGUACCACUGCAUGGAAGGAAGCUCUAAAUAUGAAGAUUAACAAAUUAAGUGAGCCCAUGAGAGCUCUAUUAUGGAGCUAUGAGAAGUUAGAUCCAUGUUUGCAGAGGUGCUACCUAUAUUGUAGCUUGUUUCCAAAAGGUCACAAGUAUGUUACUGAUGAGUUGGUUCUUCUUUGGAUGGCAGAGGGCCUUAUUGAUUCGUACAACCAAAACAAGAGUGUGGAAGAUGUCGGGAGGGACUGCUUCAAGGAGAUGAUAUCUGUUUCCUUCUUUCAACCAGUUAAUGAGAAAUAUCAUGUUAUGCAUGAUCUCCUUCAUGAUCUUGCAGAAUCACUCUCCAAAGGGAACCGCUUCAGAUUGGAAGAUCAUAAGUUACUUCUGUUCAAUCACAAAGUCGAGAGUUUGCCAGAGAAACUCUGCAAUUUAAAGAAGUUACGACAUCUUGAAUAUCGUCAGGAUCUAUAUUACAUGCCCAAGAAAGCACUGCCUCAAGUUCCUAACAUCGGCAAGCUAACUUCUCUUCAACAAUUUGAAGAAUUUUCUGUGCAAAAUAAAAUGGGUUAUGGGUUGCUACAGCUAAGGGACAUGAACCAGAUCCGUGGAAGUUUAAGUGUCACAAAUCUUGAGAAUGCCACUGGGAAGGAUCAAGCCUUGAAAUCAAAGUUGUAUCAGAAAGUUCAUCUUCGCAGCUUGCAACUUGUCUGGAGUUGCAAGGAUGACACAAACUUUGAUCAUAUCUUACAUUUGGAGAUUCUAGAAGGCAUGAUGCCACCGCCUCAACUUGGGGCCCUUAGUAUUCACGGUUACAAAUCUUCAAAAUAUCCAGGCUGGUUACUUGAUGGUUCAUAUUUUGAGAAUUUGGAAUCCUUAAGCUUUGUUGAUUGCAGCAUGGUAGAAAGCCUACCAUACAAUACUGGACUAUUUGGAAAUUGCUCUUCUCUUGCCCUCCGCAAUGUGCCAAACCUGCAGAUGUUACCUUGUCUUCCACUAGGCCUUAAAAUAUUAGUAGUAGAGAAAUGCCCACCGCUUAUAUUUAUCUCCAACGAUGGGCUGGGAUAUCUUGAUCAGAGAGAGAAUAUCAUGAGGACAGACCACUUGGCAUCACAACUUGGUUUAAUCUGGGGGAACCUUGAAAGUGCUCUAGAAAGAGACAAAGAUGAAGUGUUGGUAAAAGAGGAUAUCAUCAAGGCAUGGAUAUACUGUCAUGAGCGGAGGAUGAGGCUCAUGCAUGGAAGGAGCAUUGGGCCGCUGCUGAAUCCACCAUCAGGACUUCAUGAACUUACUUUUUCUUCAUGCUAUAUUACAGAUGGAGAUUUAGCUGUUUGCCUUGAUGGCCUGGCUUCACUGGAAAAACUGUUCUUAGCAGAGAUUAUGACUUUAACUACACUUCCUUCAGAAGAGGUCUUCCAACCUGACUUCCUCUGCGCUGACUGGCAGCACAUGGAUCGUAUUUUCAUAUCCUACUGUAGAAGCACUGCAUGCUUGUCUGUUGGUAAUCUCACCUCCGUUGAAUCACUCUACCUGUAUUACUUGCCAGAUCUAUGUACACUCGAAGGAUUGUCUUCCUUGCAACUUAAAGAUGUACAUUUGAUUGACAUUCCGAAACUCACCCCCGAGUGUAUCUCACAGUUUCGAGUCCAGGACACACUCUAUGUUAGCAGUUCUGUUAUACUCAACAAAAUGCUUGCGGCUGAAGAUUUCACAAUUCCACCAUACCUCUGUUUUGAAGGAUGCAAGGAACCGUUCAUUUCAUUAGAAGAAUCUGCAUAUAUCACUUUUGUCAAGAUCCUGUGCUUCUUUAAUUGCCAAAUGAUUUCCCUGCCAACAACUCUGAAGUGCUUCUCCAAUCUGAAGGAUCUACAUACCUCUAACUGCCCUAACAUAUCAUCUUUACCAGAUUUGCCAUCCUCCCUCCAGCGCAUUUUCUUAAUGGGUUGUAGUGAGCUCUUGAAGGAGAGUUGCUGA